rnacentral:rRNA from 1 species
UACGUAGGGUGCGAGCGUUAAUCGGAAUUACUGGGCGUAAAGCGUGCGCAGGCGGUUCGCCAAGUCAGGUGUGAAAUCCCCGGGCUUAACCUGGGAAUUGCGCUUGAAACUAGCGAGCUUGAGUGUGGCAGAGGGGGGUGGAAUUCCACGUGUAGCAGUGAAAUGCGUAGAGAUGUGGAGGAACACCGAUGGCGAAGGCAGCCCCCUGGGUCAACACUGACGCUCAUGCGCGAAAGCGUGGGGAGCAAACAGG